rnacentral:rRNA from 1 species
GAUGAACGCUAGCGGCAGGCUUAACACAUGCAAGUCGAGGGGCAGCAUACCAGCAAUGGUGAUGGCGACCGGCAAACGGGCGCGGAACACGUACGCAACAUACCUUUAUCUGGGGCAUAGCCCGAAGAAAUUCGGAUUAACACCCCAUAAGAUCACGGAGUGGCAUCACUCAGUGAUUAAAAUUUAUUGGAUAGAGAUUGGCGUGCGUCCUANAGGUAGUUGGUGGGGUAACGGCCCACCAAGCCGACGAUAGGUAGCUGGUGUGAGAGCACGACCAGCCACACGGGCACUGAGACACGGGCCCGACUCCUACGGGAGGCAGCAGUGAGGAAUAUUGGUCAAUGGGCGAGAGCCU